rnacentral:rRNA from 1 species
CCUACGGGGGGCUGCAGUGGGGAAUAUUGGGCAAUGGGCGCAAGCCUGACCCAGCAACGCCGCGUGAAGGAUGAAGGCUUUCGGGUUGUAAACUUCUUUUCUGAGGGACGAACACAGUGACGGUACCUCAGGAAUAAGCCACGGCUAACUACGUGCCAGCAGCCGCGGUAAUACGUAGGUGGCAAGCGUUAUCCGGAUUUAUUGGGUGUAAAGGGCGUGUAGGCGGGAAAGCAAGUCAGAUGUGAAAAGUCAGGGCUCAACCCUGGGCCUGCAGUUGAAACUGUUUGUCUUGAGUGCUGGAGAGGCAAGCGGAAUUCCGGGUGUAGCGGUGGAAUGCGUAGAUAUACGGAGGAACACCAGUGGCGAAGGCGGAUUGCUGGACAGUAACUGACGCUGAGGCGCGAAAGCGUGGGGAGCAAACAGGAUUAGAUACCCUGGUAGUC